GAAAUGCGAUAAGUAGUGUGAAUUGCAGAAUUCAGUGAAUCAUCGAAUCUUUGAACGCACAUUGCGCCCUUUGGUAUUCCUUAGGGCAUGCCUGUUCGAGCGUCAUCUAAACCUUCAAGCCCUGCUUGGUGUUGGGUGCCUGUCCCGCCUCCGCGCGCGGACUCACCUCAAAUCCAUUGGCGGCCCCCGCGUCGGCCACGAGCGCAGCAGAAACGCGAACUCGUGAGCCCGUCCGGGCGGCUCCCAGAAGCUACACCCACCCAGUUUGACCUCGGAUCAGGUAGGGAUACACGCUGAACUUAAGC
rnacentral:misc_RNA from 1 species